rnacentral:rRNA from 1 species
UGUUGCUUGCAAGGGCGUAUGGUGGAUGCCUUGGCAGACAGGACCGAUGAAGGACGUUUGAGGCUGCGAUAUGCCUCGGGGAGCCGCCAACAGGGCUUUGAUCCGAGGAUUUCCGAAUGGGGGAACCCACCGACCGUCAUGGGUCGGUACCGGCUUCGGCCGGGGGGUACGCAGGGAAGUGAAACAUCUCAGUACCUGCAGGAAAGGAUAUUCCGUGAGUAGUGGCGAGCGAAAGCGGAUGAUGGCCAAACCUUGCGCGUGUGAUACCCGUCGGGGGUUGCGCGCGGGGUGUUGCGGGAUCGCGUGCGCCGGCUCCGACGGGCCGGCCGGCAGUUGCAGAAAACCAUGUGUCAGGGGAACCGGGUUGAAUACCGGGCCGCAGAGGGUGAGGGCCCCGUACCUGAACGCGCAUGGUCUGCCGAUCGCGUCUCCCAAGUAGCACGGGUCCCGUGGAACCCCGUGCGAAUCCGCCCAGACCGUUGGGUAAGCCUGAAUAUUCCUGUCUGACCGAUAGCGAACGAGUACCGUGAGGGAAAGGUGAAAAGUACCCCGGGAGGGGAGUGAAACAGUCUCUGAAACCGUGCGCCUACAAUCCGUCGGAGCCCUUUUGUGGGGUGACGGCGUGCCUAUCGAAAAAUGAGUCUGCGAGUCAGUGGCAUGUGGCGAGCAUAACCCGUGUGGGGUAUGCGUAGCGAAGGCGAGUCUUAAAAGGCGUUUGAGUCGCGUGUCCUGGACCCGAAGCGGGAUGAUCUAGCCCUGAGCAGGUUGAAGCGCGGGUAAGACCGCGUGGAGGACCGAACCCACCUGGGUUGAAAACCGGGGGGAUGACUUGGGGCUAGGGGUGAAAGGCCAAUCAAAUUCCGUGAUAGCUGGUUCUCUCCGAAAUGCAUUUGGGUGCAGCGUCGGGUCAUUACGUCCCGGGGGUAGAGCUACUGGAUGCUUGCGGGCCCGUAUCGGGUACCAACAGCAACCAAACUCCGAAUACCGGUGACGCGUAUCCCGGCAGUGAGUCGGCGGGGGAUAAGCUUCGUCGUCGAAAGGGAAACAGCCCAGACCGUCGUCUAAGGUCCCGAAGCGUGUGCUAAGUGGGAAAGGAUGUGGAGUCGCAUAGACAGCCAGGAGGUUGGCUCAGAAGCAGCCACCCUUGAAAGAGUGCGUAACAGCUCACUGGUCUAGUGGUUCCGCGCCGACAAUGUAGCGGGGCUCAAGCACACCACCGAAGACGCGGCAGUAUUUUGUACUGGGUAGGAGAGCGUCCCAUGAGGGGCGAAGCGGCCGUGUGAACGCGCCGUGGACUUCAUGGGAGUGAGAAUGCAGACAUGAGUAGCGAGAGACGGGUGAAGAUCCCGUCCGCUGGAUGACCAAGGGUUCCAGGGCCACGUUCAUCGUCCCUGGGUGAGUCGGGUCCUAAGGCGAGGCCGACAGGCGUAGUCGAAUGGAUGAACGGGUCGAUAUUCCCGUACCGGCUUUCAGCCGCCAAAACCGAGGCUUGGAGUACUAACCUCCGGGUCCGGGCUUACUGCUCCUUCGGGGGCGGGAUGCCCUGGCCUGUUGGGACCGAUCCUUGUAGUAGGUCAGCGCAGGAGUGACGCAGAAGGGUAGCCGGCCGCGGAGGUGGUCUUCCGUGGUCAAGCACGCAGGGCGUGGGACAGGCAAAUCCGUCCCGCAUGGGUCCGAGGUGCGAUGAUGGGGGCCUUAUGGCCCGAUAUCCGGUGAUCCCGGCUGCCGAGAAAAGCUUCGGCGUCAGGCUCAAAGCCGCCCGUACCCCAAACCGACACUGGUGGUCAGGUAGAGAAUACCAAAGCGAUCGAGCGAAUCCUGGUCAAGGAACUCGGCAAAUCACUCCCGUUCCUUCGGUUUAAGGGAGACCCCCGAUGGUGAACACACUUGCUGUGGGAGCUUUUGGGGGUGGCACAGACCAGGGGGUAGCGACUGUUUACCAAAAACACAGGUGCAUGCGAAGGCGCAAGCCGCUGUAUAUGCACUGACGCCUGCCCGGUGCCGGAAGGUUAAGAGGAUCCGUCAGCCUUCGGGUGAAGCGGUGAAUUCAAGCCCCGGUAAACGGCGGUGGUAACUAUAACCAUCCUAAGGUAGCGAAAUUCCUUGUCGGGUAAGUUCCGACCUGCACGAAUGGCGUAAUGAUGGCCAGGCUGUCUCCACCCGAGACUCAGUGAAAUUGAACUCGCUGUGAAGAUGCAGUGUACCCGCGGCAAGACGGAAAGACCCCGUGAACCUUUACUAUAGCUUGACACUGAACAUUGAGCCUUGAUGUGUAGGAUAGGUGGGAGGCUUUGAAGUGUGGACGCCAGUCUGCAUGGAGCCGACCUUGAAAUACCACCCUUUAAUGUUUGAUGUUCUAACGUUGACCCGUAAUCCGGGUUGCGGACAGUGUCUGGUGGGUAGUUUGACUGGGGCGGUCUCCUCCUAAAGAGUAACGGAGGAGCACGAAGGUUGGCUAAUCCUGGUCGGACAUCAGGAGGUUAGUGCAAUGGCAUAAGCCAGCUUGACUGCGAGCGUGACGGCGCGAGCAGGUGCGAAAGCAGGUCAUAGUGAUCCGGUGGUUCUGAAUGGAAGGGCCAUCGCUCAACGGAUAAAAGGUACUCCGGGGAUAACAGGCUGAUACCGCCCAAGAGUUCAUAUCGACGGCGGUGUUUGGCACCUCGAUGUCGGCUCAUCACAUCCUGGGGCUGAAGUAGGUCCCAAGGGUAUGGCUGUUCGCCAUUUAAAGUGGUACGCGAGCUGGGUUUAGAACGUCGUGAGACAGUUCGGUCCCUAUCUGCCGUGGGCGCUGGAGAACUGAGGGGGGCUGCUCCUAGUACGAGAGGACCGGAGUGGACGCAUCACUGGUGUUCGGGUUGUCAUGCCAAUGGCACUGCCCGGUAGCUAAAUGCGGAAGAGAUAAGUGCUGAAAGCAUCUAAGCACGAAACUUGCCCCGAGAUGAGUUCUCCCUGACUCCUUGAGAGUCCUGAAGGAACGUUGAAGACGACGACGUUGAUAGGCCGGGUGUGUAAGCGCAGCGAUGCGUUGAGCUAACCGGUACUAAUGAACCGUGAGGCUUAACCUU